GUGCUCAUUUCUGCAGCACAUAUAUUAAAAUUGGAAUGAUAUAGAGAAGAUUAGCAUGGCCCCUGUGCAAGGAUGACAUGCAAACUGGUGAAGCAUUCCAUAUUUUU
rnacentral:snRNA from 1 species